GUGCAAGUGACCUAAUACGAUAUAUAUGGGGUCAGAUAAUUCAAUAUAGGGAUUUACUGACACCAUAUAUAUCGUAUUAGGUCACUAACACAGUA
rnacentral:sRNA from 1 species